AAGCAUUGUUUUUCCUCUCCUUGGAGAAAGUACAUGCAAAAUCAAAAUUAAUGGCUCCGACUUUUCGAAUCACCGCAAGCUACUAUCUCUUCGAGUUCUGGUUAUAAUAGUACUUGAUUAGAUACUUCUUAUAAGGCUUAAAAGCCAACUUAAAUGCUAUUGCAGUAAAGAUUUCAUUCCUUCUUCACUUCACUUUACG